rnacentral:rRNA from 1 species
UACGUAGGUGGCAAGCGUUGUCCGGAAUCACUGGGCGUAAAGCGCACGUAGGCGGUCUUUUAAGUCGGGGGUGAAAUCCUGGAGCUCAACUCCAGAACUGCCUUCGAUACUGGAAGACUUGAGUCCGGGAGAGGUGAGUGGAACUGCGAGUGUAGAGGUGAAAUUCGUAGAUAUUCGCAAGAACACCAGUGGCGAAGGCGGCUCACUGGCCCGGUACUGACGCUGAGGUGCGAAAGCGUGGGGAGCAAACAGG